rnacentral:tRNA from 2 species
GCUGGCGUAGCACAACGGUAGUGCAUCCGACUUGUAAUCGGAAGGUUGUGGGUUCAAAUCCGACCGCCAGCU